rnacentral:rRNA from 1 species
UAGUCCACACCGUAAACGAUGAAUGCCAGUCGUCAGAGGGCUUGCCCUUUGGUGACACACCUAACGGAUUAAGCUCUCCGCCUGGGGAGUACGGUCGCAAGAUUAAAACUCAAAGAAAUUGACGGGGGCCCGCACAAGCGGUGGAGCAUGUGGUUUAAUUCGAAGCAACGCGCAGAACCUUACCUACCCUUGACAUGCCGGUCGCGAUUUCCAGAGAUGGAUUUCUUCAAUUCGGUUGGACCGUGCACAGGUGCUGCAUGGCCGUCGUUAGCUCGUGUCGUGAGAUGUUGGGUUAAGUCCCGCAACGAGCGCAACCCUCGCCGUUAGUUGCCAGCACUUCGGGUGGGAACUCUAACGGGACUGCCUGUGAAAGCAGGAGGAAGGCGAGGAUGACGUCUAGUCAGCAUGGUCCUUACGAUCUGGGCUACACACGUGCUACAAUGGCAGGUACAGAGCGCAGCCACUUCGCGAGAAGGCGCUAAUCGCUUAAAGCCUGU